rnacentral:rRNA from 1 species
GUGUCAGCAGCCGCGGUAAUACCGGCAGUCCGAGUGAUGGCCGAUCUUAUUGGGCCUAAAGCGUCCGUAGCUGGCCGCACAAGUCCAUCGGAAAAUCCACCCGCCCAACGGGUGGGCGUCCGGCGGAAACUGUGCGGCUUGGGACAGGAAGGCUCGAGGGGUACGUUCGGGGUAGGAGUGAAAUCCCGUAAUCCUGAACGGACCACCGAUGGCGAAAGCACCUCGAGAGGACUGAUCCGACAGUGAGGGACGAGAGCUAGGGUCUCGAACCGGAUUAGAUACCCGUGUAGUCC